rnacentral:tRNA from 1 species
GCGGGUGUAGUUUAAUGGUAGAACUUCAGCCUUCCAAGCUGUUAACGUGGGUUCGAUUCCCAUCACCCGCUCCA